CGGCUCCGGCAGUCUGGUCUCUCUGGAGUCAGACUUGGAUACAAGGGCAGAGAAUCCAGUGAUAUAUGAGAAUGGGGAUAUGACAGAGAGGGUCAAAUUCCUAUGCAAGGAUGGAUUGAGGUUUCUUGUGAAUUUUUGUCCCUCGGAAACAAGGGGCUCUGUCAAUGUGACUACUGUGCUCUCGAGAACUGGGGCCAAGGCACCAUGGUCACCGUCUCCUCAGCUGCGAAAGUGUCUCCGACCGUCUACCCCUUGAUUCCCAGCCGCAAGGAGAAAAACCUCUCCCAAGUGACCCUGGGCUGCCUGGUGACUGGCUACUUUCCAGAACCGGUGAGCAUCAAGUGGAGCCCGGAGACUUUCAGCAGCAACUCCAAAACCUUCCCUGCUAUCCUCCAGCCCAGUGGUCUAUACACCCUCAGCAGCCAAAUCACCGUCCCUGAAGAUAAUUGGUGUGGCGAGUUGUUCACUUGCAGUGUAGAACACCCUGCCACCCAGAAGAACACCCAAAAAACAGUCGGACCUAGAUUUCCUGGAUCAAAUUCAUGCCCAGUUUUAUGCGGACCUGCAGUAUUCCUAGUCCCUCCAAGACCCAAGGACUUACUCUCUGAAGGUGGCAAACCCAAGAUCAUCUGCGUGGCCACUGGUCUCAGGGAUGAGGAAAAAGAUGCUAGAGUAAAGUGGUACAAAAAUGGAACACUGUUUCCCAACUCGCAAAACGCACAGACGUCAUCAGAUACAAUAUGGAAUGGCACACGUGUUUCCAGUAAGCUGUCAGUGACCCCUGAGGACUGGAAGAGUGAUGCAGAGUUCAGAUGUGAAGUAGAACACAAAUUAUUUCCAACAUCAUUGAAAAAAGCAAUCUCCCAUGAUAAAAACACUGAACGUAAAACCCCAGAGGCCUACAUCUUCUCACCACACACGGAGGAGCUGAGCAAGGAAUCUGUGAGCAUCACCUGUCUGGUCAAGGGCUUCUUACCCCAAGAUAUCUCCAUUGCGUGGCAACAUAAAGGCAAAGAAAUGAAGGAGGAAGAGUACUCUACCACCCCACCCCAGUAUCGAAAUGGCUCCUACUUUCUGUAUAGCAAGCUUACUGUGACAAAGAAGGAUUGGGAAACAGGAGAGUCUUUCUCCUGCUUGGUGUACCAUGACUCCCGGUCAGACACACUGAAAAAGACGGUGUCCAAAAAUACUGGUAAUUGAGAGCUGAUUAGAACGUCCUGCUGCCCCAUUCAUGUCUCCUCCUGACCCAGGACCAGCCCUGUUCCCAUUUCCCCAACUGCUGUUUAUGCUGGCUCUCCCACCCACUCCGGGUCCCUGGAGCCCCAAAAGAGGGGAAUUCCCCAUGUAAAUUCCAUCCAUGACCCCAAAGCAUGAUAAUAAAUACCCUACUGCCACACCUGAAA